AUUGAACGCUGGCGGCAGGCCUAACACAUGCAAGUCGAACGGUAACAGGAAACAGCUUGCUGUUUCGCUGACGAGUGGCGGACGGGUGAGUAAUGUCUGGGAAACUGCCUGAUGGAGGGGGAUAACUACUGGAAACGGUAUCUAAUACCGCAUAACGUCGCAAGACCAAAGAGGGGGACCUUCGGGCCUCUUGCCAUCGGAUGUGCCCAGAUGGGAUUAGCUAGUAGGUGGGGUAACGGCUCACCUAGGCGACGAUCCCUAGCUGGGCUGCGGGGAUGACCAACCACACGGGAACUGAGACACGGAACAGACUCCUACGGGAGGCAGCAGUGGGGAAUAUUGCACAAUGGGCGCAAGCCUGAUGCGGCCAUGCCGCGUGUAUGAAGAAGGCCUUCGGGUUGUAAAGUACUUUCAGCGGGGAGGAAGGGAGUAAAGUCAAUACCUUUGCUCAUUGACGUUACCCGCAGAAGAAGCACCGGCUAACUCCGUGCCAGCAGCCGCGGUAA
rnacentral:rRNA from 1 species